GACAGGAAUGGUUGCUAUCUGAACUGCGAGGAAAACGACCUUUAUUUGGUCCAGACCUUCCGAAAACCGAGGAAAUUGCUGAUGUUCUAGAUACACUCCAUGUCAUAGCGGAACUGCCUUCUGAUAACUUUGGGGCUUAUAUCAUCUCUAUGGCCACUGCUCCAUCAGAUGUUCUCUCUGUUGAGCUUUUGCAGAGAGAAUGCCAUGUGAAG
rnacentral:misc_RNA from 1 species